GCGGGGAGCAGACCCUCACCACCAUCUACACCAACUGGUACCUGGAGGCGCUGCUGCGCCAGGCCAGCACUGGGGCCAUUGUGCUGUCCCCGGCCAUGCAGGCCUUCAUCAGUGUCCCCAGGGAGGGGGAGCAGAGCUUCAGUGCAGAGGAGUUCUCAGACAUCUCAGAGAUGCGGGCGCUGGCCGAGCUGCUGGGUCCCUACGGCAUGAAGUUCCUGAGCGACAACCUCAUGUGGCACGUCACCUCGC